rnacentral:rRNA from 1 species
GUGGGGAAUUUUGGACAAUGGGCGAAAGCCUGAUCCAGCCAUGCCGCGUGCAGGAUGAAGGCCUUCGGGUUGUAAACUGCUUUUGUACGGAACGAAAAGACUCCUUCUAAUAAAGGGGGUCCAUGACGGUACCGUAAGAAUAAGCACCGGCUAACUACGUGCCAGCAGCCGCGGUAAUACGUAGGGUGCAAGCGUUAAUCGGAAUUACUGGGCGUAAAGCGUGCGCAGGCGGUUAUAUAAGACAGCUGUGAAAUCCCCGGGCUCAACCUGGGAACUGCAUUUGUGACUGUAUAGCUAGAGUACGGUAGAGGGGGAUGGAAUUCCGCGUGUAGCAGUGAGAUGCGUAGAUAUGCGGAGGAAUACCGAUGGCGAAGGCAAUCCCCUGGACCUGUACUGACGCUCAUGCACGAAAGCGUGGGGAGCAAACAGGAUUAGAAACCCGAGUAGUCC